GCAAACUUGGUCAUUUAGAGGAAGUAAAAGUCGUAACAAGGUUUCCGUAGGUGAACCUGCGGAAGGAUCAUUCAUAAUAAAAGUGUUUAUGGCACUUUUAAAACAAUCCAUAUCCACCUUGUGUGCAAUGUUUUCUUAAUAUUCAACACUUUAUUUUAUUUCUUUUGUCUGAAAUGUUUUAUGAAUUGUUACUUAAUUCAAAAAAUAUAACUUUCAACAACGGAUCUCUUGGCUCUCGCAUCGAUGAAGAACGCAGC
rnacentral:misc_RNA from 1 species